CUUCGUCCACCUGCUGCGGGCAGAUGAAAUGGAUGUGCGCGUCUAUGCCGCCAGCGGUCAGGAUGCGCCCUUCGCCCGCGAUGAUUUCGGUGCCGGGGCCGAUGGGGAUGGUGACGCCGGGUUGGACAUCCGGGUUGCCUGCCUUGCCGAUGGCGGCGAUGCGACCAUCGCGGAUGGAGACGUCCGCCUUGAUGAUGCCCCAAUGGUCGAGGAUCAGCGCGUUGGUGAUGACGGUGUCGGGCGCGCCGUCCGCGCGGGACAUCUGGCUUUGGCCCAUGCCGUCGCGGAU
rnacentral:sRNA from 1 species